rnacentral:rRNA from 1 species
UCCGUAGGUGAACCUGCGGAAGGAUCAUUAUCGUGGGGAUUCGUCCCCAUCGAGAUAGCACCCUUUGUUUAUGAGCACCGUUUGUUUCCUCGGCGGGCCUGCCCGCCGCUAGGACCCCCAAUAAACCUUUGCAGUAGCAGUAUCUUCAGUAACAAAAACAAAAAAUCAAAACUUUCAACAACGGAUCUCUUGGUUCUGGCAUCGAUGAAGAACGCAGCGAAAUGCGAUAAGUAGUGUGAAUUGCAGAAUUCAGUGAAUCAUCGAAUCUUUGAACGCACAUUGCGCCCUUCGGUAUUCCGUUGGGCAUGCCUGUUCGAGCGUCAUUUGACCCUUCAAGCUCUGCUUGGUGUUGGGCGUUUGUUCCGCCUCCGCGCGUGGACUCGCCUCAAAUUCAUUGGCAGCCGGCAAGUUGGCUUCGUGCGCAGCACAUUGCGUCACGGCUCCCGUCUGCCUCCGUCCAGUAAGGCUCCUCAUCACUUUGACCUCGGAUCAGGUAGGGAUACCCGCUGAACUUAAGCAUAUCAAUAAGCGGAGGA